GGGUGACUAGUCUAGUGGUCAGGACGCUUCGUUGUGGUUCUUCGAGUUUGAAGAAGCUCGAUUAAACAACGACCGAAGAAACCCCGGUUCGAUUCCGGGGUCGCCCA